UCGAAAACCAUUCGCGCCGCCUCUUUUCUCUUCCGGACAAGCUCUGGCUAACGUGGCUGUGAGAACCAGUACAGUAUUGCAACAAUUGUCACGAAUCUCAUGUUUUCUUCUCGAGAAUUACAAUGAAAGAAAUCAUUCAUGAAGAUUUCCUGAUGACAUCCAGUUUGUCUGUUAAGGGCAAAAAAUCCCAGAUCGGAGAUGGGUGACUGACAAAAGUGGAGGUUUACUCCCCUGGGUGUCAUCACCACCACAGUACCGUUGGAACUCUUUGGAACAGCAAACAGAGUCAUGUUUGCAUGUUUCUUAAUCGUGUCAAAAGGCCUUCUGUUGAGUUUGCCAAAACCUCAAAGGAUGAUGGGUACACUAGGCAGUAGGGCAACAAAUAUUUGUGCCAUUGCAUGACUGAAUGCACAAAUUGACAAUUUGAAAUGUUUAUUUAUUUUUUUGCAACCAGAGCCAACAAUCCUAAAGAAUCAUCUUGUCGCCACUGACUGUUUUCUGCUCACUUUGUCCGUCAUUGCUUUUGUCGAACAAGUGACGUUUGUCAUCUUUUGACGUCUAGGGUGGAUGAGCGCGACUCAUCUGCUACAUAUUAGAUUUAUGUUCACAUAGAAAAUAGGUUUCUUGCUUUUUGCUAAGGAACUUUCCUGUCUGAGCAAGAUGACCCCAAAAAAGUACUUUGAGCUUAGGUUGUUCACAUUUUUAAAAAUGCUUAGGAAAGGUCCCUCGAUGCCACCUUUUUAGCAAAGGUUACUCCUGACCAACCUUUAUGAAAAGGGAGCGAUAUUACCUGUUACACAAGGUCUCUUAGGAAAAGUGGAGUUAAAUUCAUUGCUGGCCUUUUCCAUGAUCGAAAGAGCGCACCGUUUCAUCUCUCCUUAACCUAAUGAACAACAAAGGUUACGACAAAGUGGCAUAAAGGUUUGAUUUGUUUUUCCGAAAAGGUCCCAAGACUGGUUGGAAUCUUAAAAACAUUAAAAAAAAAAAAACUCUGAGGCUAUGCAAGUAAUUACAUUUUAAUCAAAUACAAAUAUUUGAGUUUUUUUUUUUUUUUUAAAUAAAAUUUUUCAUCAUGCUACGACAUCAACAGAUUGGUGUCAGUUUAAACCAAGUCAGUGUUGUUGUUCUGCCCAGUGUACCCACAAUGCUUUGGGUUUUAUUUCAGAGAUGGCGAAGUCCGUACUGGAUGUAGUCAUGUUCAUGGUGUCCAAAUGGCUGCAAUGGGGCAGGUUCCUAUGCAAGCUCCCGGAAGGAUACGGCGUCUUUCAGUGGUACGUACAGUUGAGUUAAUAGUUUGAUGUGUGAGGCACGCAUGCAGUAUUAAGGUGCAUCUUUGUUAAGGGCGGAUGAGUAAUGGACAAAACCCUAGCGAUGUAUUAAAAAUGGUCUGUUUGUUCGAUGAUGAUUCAUAUUCGGUUCGACUGAUGUAAAGCUGAAGUUUACUCGCAGCGCACUGAGACGCUCAGACCACUGAGAUUAUUAUUUUUUUUCUUUAUGAUGAUUUUCAUGUUGAACAAAAUAGAUCAACUUUUAUUCCCCCACCUCCAAACAGCUAAUUGUGAGGCACUCGUCUUGCAGACUGCAGUAGGUUUUGAAAAGGUUGGUGUUAUUUUGGUAUUCUUUCAGUGAUUCUGAAUAAGUAACUGAAAUGUUAAAUUCUGUC